GAUUUUGCUUUGGCAUCGAUCUUCUUCAUGCGUUUUAAAAUUUGACUCUGCACAGUCAUCUUGAGGGGGAGUUUCUCUUUCUCUUCUUGCCCCUGUAAUUAUUGGUUUUGCAGUUGCUCCCCUUAGUCCUCUGAGGUCUCUAGUAUAAAACCAGGUCUUAAAUCAGCUUUUGGAUUUUUUUUCAUUGCUAUCUAAAAUCUCGGUUUUGUCUUUUACAAUAUGCUGCUAUCUGGUUGGACUGCUAUAACAAAAUUCCAGAGACUGGGUGGCUUAAACCACAGACAAUUAUUUCUUAUAGUUCUAGAGGCUGGAAUGUCCAAGAUCUAGGUGCUGGCAGAUUUGGUGACUGAUGAGGGCUCUCUUCCUGGCUGUAGAGAGCCUCCUUCUCACUGCGUGCUCACGUGGUCCUUCCUCCGAGCAACCACGUUCAGGAAAAAGGAAGAGGGAGGUAACCUGAUGAAUCUUCCUGGUGUGAAGCUUGUCUAUACUGUGAAUUGUGUCCUUAGGAAAGACUCCAGAAAGGACUGGCAAGGGAACUUCUGGCAGGGCCCACAGAUGCAGGAAGCAAAGUGUUCAAGAGAGCAGGAAAGCUUCUGGCUCAUGGCGUCAAGUUCCUGAACCAGAGAUGAGGUUUCACACCACGCCCUGGAACGGCCCCGGUUAAAAACUCGUGAACAUUUUGUUGAGGUUCCUGCUUUACAGAUUGUUAAACUGUUUUCUUGUAAAACUUCAUAAUCUUUGCAAGCUAAGCCAUUGUCCAGAGGAGACGGCUGAAGCUUGAACUGACCAGAGUGGUGCUUCUGGAAAGGUUCUGUGGGUAUGAAUCACAGGGCAUCCUAUUAAAACGGAUUCUGAUUCAGCUGAUCUGGGGUGAGGUCCAAAUUGCAUUUCCAACAGGCCCCCAGGUGAUGUGGACACCACUGGCCUGAGGACCUCACCAGAGUGGAGAAGUGUGAGGGGACUUAGGCGAGCCACAUGCAUCAUCAGUGACUGAGCCGGACCAUGUCUAGCUGACUCCAAAGCCUGUGGCCUCUCUCUGCGGUUCCCAUGUAGAAUCCUGCAGCCCCACCUCUCACUUUGCAGGUGAGGGAGGGGAGACAGAGAGGCUUCCGCUGGAGGGGGAAGGUGGCUUUGUUCAGGGAGGGGGCUGCCUUUCCCAGGCCCGUCCUCCACCUUGAGGAAGAGAGGGAUGGAGUGGAUGGUCUCUUGAGUGGGGAAGUGCCACAGCUGGGCAGCCAUCAGUGUUAGAAAAAUUAAUAUUUUAAUUAAAAACAUCCUUUUUC